rnacentral:rRNA from 1 species
CCGGCGCACGGGUGAGUAACGCGUAUGCAACUUACCUAUCAGAGGGGGAUAGCCCGGCGAAAGUCGGAUUAAUACUCCAUAAAACAGGGGUUCCGCAUGGGACUAUUUGUUAAAGAUUCAUCGCUGAUAGAUAGGCAUGCGUUCCAUUAGGCAGUUGGCGGGGUAACGGCCCACCAAACCGACGAUGGAUAGGGGUUCUGAGAGGAAGGUCCCCCACAUUGGUACUGAGACACGGACCAAACUCCUACGGGAGGCAGCAGUGAGGAAUAUUGGUCAAUGGCCGAGAGGCUGAACCAGCCAAGUCGCGUGAAGGAUGAAGGAUCUAUGGUUUGUAAACUUCUUUUAUAGGGGAAUAAAGUGUGGGACGUGUUCCAUUUUGUAUGUACCCUAUGAAUAAGCAUCGGCUAACUCCGUGCCAGCAGCCGCGGUAAUACGGAGGAUGCGAGCGUUAUCCGGAUUUAUUGGGUUUAAAGGGUGCGUAGGUGGUAAUUUAAGUCAGCGGUGAAAGUUUGUGGCUCAACCAUAAAAUUGCCGUUGAAACUGGGUUACUUGAGUGUGUUUGAGGUAGGCGGAAUGCGUGGUGUAGCGGUGAAAUGCAUAGAUAUCACGCAGAACUCCAAUUGCGAAGGCAGCUUACUAAACCAUAACUGACACUGAAGCACGAAAGCGUGGGUAUCAAACAGGAUUAGAUACCCUGGUAGUCCACGCAGUAAACGAUGAUUACUAGGAGUUUGCGAUACACAGUAAGCUCUACAGCGAAAGCGUUAAGUAAUCCACCUGGGGAGUACGCCGGCAACGGUGAAACUCAAAGGAAUUGACGGGGGCCCGCACAAGCGGAGGAACAUGUGGUUUAAUUCGAUGAUACGCGAGGAACCUUACCCGGGUUUGAACGUAGUCAGACCGACCUUGAAAGAGGUCUUCUAGCAAUAGCU